AGAAAGAAGUUUGCUUUCCUCCAGCACAGCUAGACAGACUCACUAAGGUCACUCCUCUCUCCAGAGCAGAGCACAGAGCAGACUAAACACUGACCUACAGCUCUGAAACCUUGCACAAACGCUGCGCCUCAGAAGUUUCCACUGCUUAUGAGACUUUUGCAAGCAAGUUGAGCAUUGGUUAAUGAUGACAGAUGAAAAGAUCUACAGCCGUUACUCCUUGUCUUAUUCCAACGUUCAACGUCUAGAGAAAGCAACAAGGAAGGCAUGACAAGCCAGGACCGCGCACAGCAGCGAUUCCCCAAGCACAUCGGUCCCCCGAAGCAAGGCAGAACAAAGUUGCAGCCGUGCCCCCAGCAGAUAAGUACCUCCGUCUCUUUAGCCGGGCUGCUCGCCGCCUCCACAUCCAAGGCGCAAUUCGCCCUCUUGACCGUAAGGUAAAAAGGGUAAUCCUUGGCCACCAUCGCGGCGGCGCGAGAAGCGGUUUCGGGUGUCACAGCUGAUUCUGUCCGAGUCCAAACAGCGAGGACGGGGCCGAGCCGGGCAGGCUGACGCGUCCCGCCCAAAGCUCCAAGCGCGUGGCCCGGGGCUGGCGAGCAGCGGCAGGCAGCGAGCAGGGAGCGGGACGCGGACGGCAGACGGGCACGGAAGGCAACAGCCGACCGCCCCUCAGCACAGCCCGCCCCGCUGGGCGGGAACGGCCCC